rnacentral:rRNA from 1 species
GGACGAACGCUGGCGGCGCGCCUAAUACAUGCAAGUCGAACGGGUCUCCUUCGGGAGGUCAGUGGCGGACGGGUGAGUAACACGUGGGUGACCUGCCCCGAAGUGGGGAAUAACGCUGCGAAAGCAGCGCUAAUACCGCAUAUGCUUAACGGUCCAAUCUGUUAAAGCAAAGCAGCAAUGCGCUUUGGGAGGGGCCUGCGGCAGAUUAGCUAGUCGGUGGGUAAUGGCCACCGAGGCGACGAUCUGUA